AUUGAACGCUGGCGGCAUGCUUUACACAUGCAAGUCGAACGGUAACAGGCCGCAAGGUGCUGACGAGUGGCGAACGGGUGAGUAAUGCAUCGGAACGUGCCCAGUCGUGGGGGAUAACUGCUCGAAAGAGCAGCUAAUACCGCAUACGAUAUAUGGAUGAAAGCGGGGGACCGUAAGGCCUCGCGCGAUUGGAGCGGCCGGUGUCAGAUUAGGUAGUUGGUGGGGUAAAGGCUCACCAAGCAAACGAUCUGGAGCUGGUCUGAGAGGACGACCAGCCACACUGGGACGGAGACACGGCCCAGACUCCUACGGGAGGCAGCAGUGGGGAAAUUUGGACAAUGGGGGCAACCCUGAUCCAGCAAUGCCGCGUGCAGGAAGAAGGCCUUCGGGUUGUAAACUGCUUUUGUACGGAACGAAACGGUCUGGGUUAAUACCCUGGGCUAAUGACGGUACCGUAAGAAUAAGCACCGGCUAACUACGUGCCAGCCGCCGCAGUAAUAC
rnacentral:rRNA from 1 species